CCUACGGGAGGCAGCAGUAGGGAAUUUUGCGCAAUGGGCGAAAGCCUGACGCAGCAACGCCGCGUGAUUGAUUAAGCACUUCGGGGUGUAAAGAUCUGUCAGUGGGGACGAAACUUGACGGUACCCACAGAGGAAGCAACGGCUAACUCCGUGCCAGCAGUCGACGUAAUACGGAGGAUGCAAGCGUUGUCUGGAAGCAUUGGGCGGAAAGAGUUCGUAGUUGGCCUGUUAAGUCUGGUGUUAAAUGCAGAGGCUCAACUUCUGUUCGGCACUGGAUCAUGGUAAGCUUGAAUGCGGUAGAGGUAAAUGGAAUGCCUGGUGUAGCGGUGAAAUGCGUAGACAUCAGGAGGAACAUCGGUGGCGUAAGCGCUUUACUGGGCCGUAAUUGACACUGAGGAACGAAAGCCGGGGUAGCAAAUGGGAUUAGAUACCCGAGUAGUC
rnacentral:rRNA from 1 species